UACGUAUGGAGCAAGCGUUAUCCGGAUUUACUGGGUGUAAAGGGAGCGCAGGCGGCUUUGCAAGUCUGAUGUGAAAGGCCGGGGCUCAACCCCGGGACUGCAUUGGAAACUGUAAAGCUAGAGUGCCGGAGAGGUAAGCGGAAUUCCUAGUGUAGCGGUGAAAUGCGUAGAUAUCACGCAGAACCCCGAUUGCGAAGGCAGCCUUCCGGCGCCCUACUGACGCUGAGGCACGAAAGUGCGGGGAUCGAACAGG
rnacentral:rRNA from 1 species